rnacentral:rRNA from 1 species
GACAGAGGGUGCAAACGUUGUUCGGAUUUACUGGGCGUAAAGCGCGUGUAGGCGGCUUUGCAAGUCGGAUGUGAAAUCCCACGGCUCAACCGUGGAAGUGCAUCCGAAACUGCAUUGCUGGAGUCUCGGAGAGGAAGGUGGAAUGCUUGGUGUAGAGGUGAAAUUCGUAGAUAUCAAGCAGAACACCUGCGGCGAAGGCGGCUCACUGGACUGGUAUUGACGCUGAGGUGCGAAAGCGUGGGGAGCAAACAGG